rnacentral:rRNA from 1 species
AUUGAACGCUGGCGGCAUGCCUUGCACAUGCAAGUCGAACGGUAACGGGCCUUCGGGUGCCGACGAGUGGCGAACGGGUGAGUAAUGCAUCGGAACGUACCUUUCAGUGGGGGAUAACGUAGCGAAAGUUACGCUAAUACCGCAUAUUCUGUGAGCAGGAAAGCAGGGGAUCGCAAGACCUUGCGCUGAUUGAGCGGCCGAUGUCAGAUUAGCUAGUUGGUGAGGUAAAGGCUCACCAAGGCGACGAUCUGUAGCGGGUCUGAGAGGAUGAUCCGCCACACUGGAACUGAGACACGGUCCAGACUCCUACGGGAGGCAGCAGUGGGGAAUUUUGGGACAAUGGGGGCAACCCUGAUCCAGCCAUGCCGCGUGAGUGAAGAAGGCCUUCGGGUUGUAAAGCUCUUUCGGCCGGGAAGAAAUCGCAUGGGUUAAUACCCUGUGCGGAUGACGGUACCGGC